GUAUCCGUGAGGGGAGCUUGCGAGAUGGUGCAGUCACCGACGACCCCAGGGACUCACAACGCAGCAUUUCUCUCAUUCUUGCAACAUGUCACUGCAAGCUGGCCCGAGGCCCCUGCUGCUGUAGUCACGUGAGGACCGAGAUGCUGCUGAUCUCUGCACACCAGGGGUUUACAAGCUGAAAGCGUCACAGCAACACAGACACGCAGAGAGGGGACGGCAAAGAAACAACUGUCGACAAUUAAACAGGGAGUUCUGCUGAAGAAGAGCAACUAUUAAUGCCUCAGCAUCACACAGAGUCAGUGCGUCCCUGAACCAUCCCGAGGGUUAUCUAUGAGCGCCUCAUGUCUGCUGGUGUCUUCCUGAUCGCCUUCGUACUGACAAGGAGUAGUGAUGCUCUGAAUCUUGGUUGGAAUAUGUGAACGCACUAGUUGCUAUGCAGCGUGAACGCACUAGCUGUUAUCUCUUACUCUCCGCUUUCUGCGUUCCUGUGUGGCUCCGGUUUUUCUCGUCUGUAAGCCGCUAGCAUGAAGAGGUCAGCAACAUCAUCUGAUCGGGCUUCCGUGCGGGUUUUCCCUCCUGUGAGUGUUGGACUUCGCAUCUGUUGACAUCCUGAGUUCCGCCCAUGAUCCCUGUGUUUUUAGCAAGAGUGCUUAUGUGCCUGUUUUUGGACAGCUGUAUAUCUCUCCAAAUACUGGCCAUUUUUGACCUUUCCUCUGCGAACCUCACUUCCCCCUUUCUUCCCCAAGGGCAGUGUCAAAAAGGAUGAGAGAAGCGCCUGAGGACUGACACAGGGCUGCAACAGAAACCUCCUAACGCGAGGUUCUUGGCUCAUUCAAAUCUUUACGGAGAUGAUACCCUGGUCUUUGCUAGUGGGUCAGCAGUCAAGAGUCUGCCUGCCAAUGUAGGAGACGUGGGUUCGAUCCCUGGGUCGGGAAGACCCCUUGGAGAAGCAAAUGGCAACCCACUCCAGUAUUCUUCCCUGGGAAAUUUCCUGGACAGGGAAGCCUGGCGUGCUGCAGUCCGUGGGGUCACAAAGACUUGGACAGGGCUGAGCAACCAAACCACCACAACGACCCUAUUCUUAAGAAUUCACUCUUCUCCGCCAAGCGCUAUCUGUUUGAAGGAAAUGAGGCACGGGUGUUAUUUUUUUCCAGAACGCGCUGUUAGCAUUUCUGAAAUGACUGGACUUCCCCAUGCCUGCCAGAUUCCUUUAGGCUUCUGUAACGACAGCCGUUGGGGAUACGGCUCUGGGUGUACAAAUUGCUAUCAAGAAUUAAGCAAGACAGGCUCUCCGUUGACAGACUGUUCACCCACUCUAGUGGACUUAAGUACCUUGAUGCUUCUUCUGGGCCAUCUGCUAGAAGUCAGAAGAUCUGGACAUCUAAUAUUAUGAGCUUUGCUAUCAACUAACAGGGAUUUGGGGGCAGGGAAUCCAGGGUCAGCAUCACGGCUGCAAAGCUCAACUCCUGGCUUACAGUGUGUUUGCUGGAUGACAAAGGGAAAAAAAUUAAAGAUGCUGCUUGAGGGUCCUCACCGAGUGUGGAAGUGGAGUCCGCAAGGGCAUGAAUUCAGCUGGUCAACACCCCUGGGGGUCGUCUUGGGUCUGGCUGCAUGGAACAUGUGUUUCCAUCACUUGCAUUUAUCGACGUUUGAGAGUGUGCUUGGUAAAAAUACCAAUUUUCCCACAAACGAAUGGAUGUGAUCUACGUGGAGGAAAAUAAUUUUAAGGUUUAAGAAGAACAAACACAGCAAGUUUUGAGAACCAUGCACGUGACGUGCUUUUGCACACAAGAGUGGUUUUAAAGGCACUUCCUUCUUAAAGGGCUUCCUUUGUGGCUCAGCUGGUAAAAAAUCUGACUGCAAUGUGGGAGACCUGGGUUCGAUGAUCCCCGGGUUGGGAAGAUCCCAUGGAGAAGGGAAAGGCUACCCACUCCAGUAUUCUGGCCUGGAGAAUUCCAGGGACUGUACAGUCCGUGGGGUUGCAGAGUCAGACAUGACUGAGUGACCUUCACUUUCCUUCUUAAAGGAAUAACAGAUUUAAAAGCUGUUAUGCAUGCAAUCGUUCGUAAGCUUGGAAUUACACUUUUCUCCUUUGCUUGGCUAGAAGUUAUAUAUAGUUGAGGACUUCAACACCUAUUCAAGGAACUGGUCAUUAGAUACAGAACACACCUGUAUGUGUGCUGUGAUUCCAUAAUGGCCUCACUGAUAUGGAAGAGAACCUGGGAAAUUUGGGAUCUGCAGGCUAAAAAAGUCCAACGUAUGACUGAUUCCAUAAAACCUCUCCACCCCUGGAGGCUGUGGAAGGAGCAUGUUGGCGUCUGUAAAUAUGAUAGAAAAACCCCACCUGUCUGCUUCAGAGUGUCUGAGAUGCUUCUGAUAUGUCCUCAGGAGAAGGCGCUUUGGGGGCUUGGGGGGUAGCUCCACGACAUGAGGGUUUCCCUGGUGGCUCAGAUGGUGAAGAAUCUGCUUGCAAUGCAGGAGUCCCAGGUUUGAUCCCUGGGUCAGGAAGAUCCCCUGGAGGAGGGCAAGGCAACCCGCUCCAGUAUCCUUGCCUGGAGAAUCCCCUGAACAGAGGAGCCUGGUGGGCUACAGUCCAUGGGGUCGCAAAAAGUCGGACACGACUGAAGCGACUUAGAAUGCAUUCACGCACCACGACCUGAAGCAAGGCCUAACGCCUCAUUAAAGACAGCCUUGGAACAGAAACCCUAUGUCCCCUGCAUAGAAGAACCCUGGCGCAGGCUGGAGAAUGAACUAACUGCAGAAACAGAUGAAUACAGAGAACGCCAUACCCAGCUUCUCGAGUCCCAAGUCUCUCUGACUAGGGUUUCAUAUGACCAGCUUUCAACAAUGGUGCAACCCUCCAGCUCAUCCAAAUGGAACCCAACUGGACCUUUGUAGGUUUUCGGUCUCCUCGCUUGAUUUUUCUUCUGUAGUGAAACUGGCUUUCCUGACCAACCAAAUUUGGAAAACAGAAUGAUGGGUUUGCUCUCCACCUUGAAGAAUUUGUCAGGAAAAACAACUUUACCAGGAAAACAAAACAAACUCCCAGCCCUGACCCCCAAUUUUACCUCUUUAAUAAGAAACCACAAAGAGAUAGGGAGCUAUGAGAAGCAUGGGACAGUUCUUUGAAAAGAUUCAAUAGUCGUUUGUCUUCAAGGUACCAAAAAUAACAUGUGCAAGUGAGAUAAUACAUAUUUUUAAUUAGUAUUUUUUUUUUGAGGGGGAGUGGGGGAUGGAUUCUUGUCCAGGCUCCAUUUGCUAGAGGCUUAUUUUCAUCUGGGUUCUACCUUUUCUAAAACUGUUGCAGAGAAUUAUUUUCUCAAGACAUCAAAUUCUUGGCUCCAGUUAUAACCAGACAGGCUGCAGUGUUUUUUUUUUUUUUAAAGUAUAUUUUUCCUUCUUGUUUCUCAUCUUUUAUUUCUCAAAAUACAUGUGCUUUUUAUAGAUAUGGGAGCCAUUUUCAGAUCAGGCUCUCUGAAAAUAGUCUGAAUCAGAAUAUAUUAGGGGAAAAAAAUCAUCAUUUACCCACAGAGGCACAUCAUGUUUCAUUUUAUUAAAAGCGGUACACAGAGGGUGCAGACAGGAAAAAAAUGAGGUGGAGAUUUUUUUCCCUCGGCUAUUCUUUAAGCCAGAGUUUUGUUUAUAGGAAAUGUUUUUUAACGUUAUAUGAAUACGUGAAUUAAAAAUAAAUGUAAGCAC